rnacentral:tRNA from 1 species
GGUCGAUUAGCUCAGUUGGUAGAGCAGUAGCCCGAUAAGCUAUUGGUCGCUGGUUCAAAUCCAGCAUCGACUACCA